rnacentral:lncRNA from 1 species
GAGUAAGUUUAGAGUAAAGAACUUAGAAGUCAUAUUGUACCCAAAAGAUACAGGCAGACAUAAUGAGGUGUUUUUUGGAACUAUUCAUGUAGACACACUAUCUGUGAUUGUACAGUUUCUUUCAAGACUUUUACCUUUUGCCUUCACUCUUGAGGGAGAUGGACACACACACAAACACACACAGAGGUUUUAUCUAUCACUUUUAAUUUUAAAUGUUUUUUCCAGCACUUUUUAGAAGGUGGUGUUUUUGAAAUAGGUCAGUAGCUCACAAAGUUUAAAGUAUAAUGGCUCUUCUCUUAAAGUAGUGAAUUUUCACUGAGUUCCCCACAAGCCUUGCCUAGUGUUAGACUGAAAAGGAAGUUCUUUUAUUUUUCUUCAAAGUUAGGAAGAGAUUAAAGACAUUCAGCCUGCUUUAUCUGAUGUCCAAGAACAACAAUAUACCUAUGGGGCACAGAUUAAAAUACUUUCAUGAAUUAUUUUUCUUGUUAUACUUUGGCCCCAAUUAGUGUUCUUUUUAUAAAGAAUAAGUCCUGUAGCUCUCAAAGGAUUCUAUAGGGUUGUACUAGUCUAGGAAGGAUAUUCUGGUUAUAUCGAGCAUCUGUCCCAUGAAAAUACACUUUAGAUAUUUUUCAAUGUUUUAACUUAAUCUGUGAUAGGUUCAUAUGGUUUGACCUUAGUAUUUCCUCUCCGCUAACUUGUCCAAGGUCCUCCAUCAAGUUUUUUGUUUUGUAUGACACAUAUAGAUGUACUUGUAUAGAUACAUAUAGAUGCAUUUGCUUUAUUUAUCUCCUCUGACAGGGUGCAUUUGUAUUCUGUAUUUACAACCUGAUAAUUAACAUGUAAUACUGUUAAUAAACUUAGCAGUAUUAUUUUUUAUUCUCUUGUUGGAUAGUCAAUGGACUCUAUACAUGGAUGCUUUCCUUCUGUUAAGAUAAAAUCAAACCAUGCUGUCCUAACCCUAACUCUGGGUCCUUAUAUUGACUUACAUUUGGCAACAGCAAAAGCAUUAUCUUUCAAAUUGUCAACAUACCUUAUGUGGAUAAAUAUACCUAUAUUCCACUUUCUCUUUAUAUAAAUUUAAGAUUGAUGUGUGUUCUUACCCAUCCAAUUUCAUGUUUCUUCUCUAAAGACAUGAGAUCAAACAAAG